CCUACGGGAGGCAGCAGUGAGGAAUAUUGGUCAAUGGGCGCUAGCCUGAACCAGCCAAGUAGCGUGAAGGAUGACUGCCCUAUGGGUUGUAAACUUCUUUUAUAUGGGAAUAAAGUGCAGUAUGUAUACUGCUUUUCAUGUACCUUAUGAAUAAGGAUCGGCUAACUCCGUGCCAGCAGCCGCGGUAAUACGGAGGCUCCGAGCGUUAUCCGGAUUUAUUGGGUUUAAAGGGAGGGUAGGCGGGUUGUCUAGUCAGUUGGUAAAGUUUGGGGGCUAACCGUAAAAUUGCAGUUGAUACUGGCAUUCUUGAGUACAGGAGAGGUAGGCGGAAUUCGUGGUGUAGCGGUGAAAGGCUUAGAUAUCACGAAGAACUCCGAUUGCGAAGGCAGCCUGCUGGACUGUAACUGACGCUGAUGCUCGAAAGUGUGGGUAUCAAACAGGAUUAGAUACCCCAGUAGUC
rnacentral:rRNA from 1 species